CCUACGGGAGGCAGCAGUGAGGAAUAUUGGUCAAUGGCCGAGAGGCUGAACCAGCCAAGUCGCGUGAGGGAUGACGGCCCUACGGGUUGUAAACCUCUUUUGCCGGGGAGCAAAAAACGGGACGCGUCCCGCCUCGAGAGUACCCGGAGAAAAAGCAUCGGCUAACUCCGUGCCAGCAGCCGCGGUAAUACGGAGGAUGCGAGCGUUAUCCGGAUUUAUUGGGUUUAAAGGGUGCGCAGGCGGAAGCGCAAGUCAGCGGUAAAAUUGAGAGGCUCAACCUCUUCGAGCCGUUGAAACUGGUGUUCUUGAGUGGGUGAGAAGUAUGCGGAAUGCGUGGUGUAGCGGUG
rnacentral:rRNA from 1 species